GAUGAACGCUGGCGGCGUGCCUAAUACAUGCAAGUUGAGCGCUGAAGGUUGGUACUUGUACCAACUGGAUGAGCAGCGAACGGGUGAGUAACGCGUGGGGAAUCUGCCUUUGAGCGGGGGACAACAUUUGGAAACGAGUGCUAAUACCGCAUAAAAACUUUAAACACAAGUUUUAAGUUUGAAAGAUGCAAUUGCAUCACUCAAAGAUGAUCCCGCGUUGUAUUAGCUAGUUGGUGAGGUAAGGGCUCACCAAGGCGAUGAUACAUAGCCGACCUGAGAGGGUGAUCGGCCACAUUGGGACUGAGACACGGCCCAAACUCCUACGGGAGGCAGCAGUAGGGAAUCUUCGGCAAUGGACGAAAGUCUGACCGAGCAACGCCGCGUGAGUGAAGAAGGUUUUCGGAUCGUAAAACUCUGUUGGUAGAGAAGAACGUUGGUGAGAGUGGAAAGCUCAUCAAGUGACGGUAACUACCCAGAAAGGGACGGCUAACUACGUG
rnacentral:rRNA from 1 species